AGUCAGUCCACAUCACUCUGUGUGUGGGAGGUUAAAAGAUCCUUGCACUUCUGUGAAGUCCAAGGUGAUGCAAAGCUUUGGGCUGCCACCACAAAACACCUGCCUGCCUAUCACCAGUUCCCUCAUGUGACCCCAGCAGCUUUCAUGUUACAAAUCAAGGGCGACUCCGAUAUUGUGGAGGGGGAGAGAAUGAUGCAUCUGACUCCAUCAUCAGAAGGAUAAAUAAUUAGUUUAUUAUGCUGUACUAGGUACAUUUCAUCUAAACUGAAUCUGCCACGCAGUCACCCUUGGUCACAACUGCCCAGAGCUGCACUCGUGACAGUCUGACAGGCCCUGAUAGGCCAAGGGAACAAAACAUCCUCACUCUGGCUUCUCUCUGUUCAGAGAACACCACACUUUCACAAAGAGGCGUGUCUCUGGGGAAGGGUGCAGAGGCCUCCUCUGCUAGAAGGAGAGCUGCUGGGUGGAUCUCCCAGCACAACAACCAUCAGAGCAAGUGACAAGCUUCGAACAUUUGAGGGAGAGGCACAAGGUAACACUGGCAAAAUGGUUUCUUUGCUGAAUGGACUGCACAGCUGCCAGGAGUAGUUGCAGUUCUAGGCACAUUUCAAGAGACUCCAAACUUUGAGUGACUCAAGGACUACAGGGCAGGAGAGGUAAAGUUUGGAUGAAGCCAUGGGAGCUGAUGGUGCAGCUCUAUCAACUGAGGCAGAAAAAGAAGAAAAAAAAUCCUGAAAUGGCUCCAUCCCAGGGAAGGGACAGAAAUGAUAACCACUUACAGAUCCAUGAGCCAUCAGCACCAAGCAAUAGGUUCCAGGCAGAGGAGCCUAAAAGAAUAGAAAGAAAUAAAGAAAAACUCCAGCCUACAAUAGCCCAGAGCUUGUAAAUAAAUGACAGAACCAAUCUGAGAGAGAGAGAUCCCACAACUAAAGAAUAAAAUCUGAUGCUGGCUGUGUGAAGAGUUCCCAGGGAAAGAACACUAGGCACCUUUACAAAGCUGGGUCUGCUGCUGGUUGCACCUCCCAGGAUCCCAGCUCUGGAGCAAUUUUGCAUGCAGGGGGGCUUGUGCUGCUCCCACACCAGCUGCUGCAGCCCCAGAGCAUCAGGCUCUGUGUCAUGGGGCUCUGAGAAUUGUGGUGGUCCCUCAAAGCCUGCAAAUAGCUGAACCACAUUCACACCUGAAGGCUUCACUGAAUCUGGCUCUUCCUCUUAGGUUUUGAUGUUCAGUCUCAUUUCAUGGCAGCAUGUGGUUUUGUUUCCAUCUGUUUAUUAUGGUGUCUGCUCUGUUGUAAAAAGGAGCUGGGUCUUCAGCUGAUGGAUGUGGCCCCACAAUUUUUAAAAGAGAGAUCUGAUUCCUUUUAAGCUUUAUUUUAACAUUAUGCAGCUUCCCAUUGGCACCAUUAAAGACAGCCUUGAAACGCUUAGCUGUGUUUUAGA